CCUACGGGCGGCAGCAGUGAGGAAUAUUGGUCAAUGGGCGAGAGCCUGAACCAGCCAAGUCGCGUGAGGGAGUACUGCCCUAUGGGUUGUAAACCUCUUUUGUCGGGGAGCAACAGCCGGACGUGUCCGGCUGUGAGAGUACCCUAAGAAAAAGCAUCGGCUAACUCCGUGCCAGCAGCCGCGGUAAUACGGAGGAUGCGAGCGUUAUCCGGAUUUAUUGGGUUUAAAGGGUGCACAGGCGGAUUUUUAAGUCAGCGGUAAAAUCGGGGGGCUCAACCCCAUCCAGCCGUUGAAACUGGGGAUCUAGAGUGUGCGAGAGGUAUGCGGAAUGCGUGGUGUAGCGGUGAAAUGCAUAGAUAUCACGCAGAACACCGAUUGCGAAGGCAGCAUACCGGUGCACAACUGACGCUGAGGCACGAAAGCGUGGGUAUCGAACAGGAUUAGAUACCCCUGUAGUC
rnacentral:rRNA from 1 species